UGCAGUUGCAGUGAGAAACUAAGUGAGAGAGGAGGUGGCUUCGUGGGUUUUCUAGGAAAGCUUUGGGUUGUUGGGUUUUUGCAGAUUCACAGCGGAGGUGAAAAAUUGAGAGAGAACUGACAUAGCUUUUCGUGUCGAUUCCCACAGACGGCGCCAAAUGUUGAUGCACAAAACUUGAGGUCUUGGAACAACGUAAAUCCGACCGUGAACCUGCAAGUAAUGUAAAUAACACAAGAUGUAUCGUGGUUCACCCCAAGGUUUGGGCUACGUACACACUGAUUGUAUUGUAUUUCUCUGAGAAGUGAGGGAGAGAGAGAGCACUGAGAGUGAGAGCGUUAAGAGGGUCAGGAGCCUUAGGAAUUGGCCUCCCCUAAUUAUGAGGGUGAGGGGUCCUUUUAUAGAAUAAGGACUGCUCACUUAUUACAUAUUUGCCCCUUUCUUUAUUACAUAAUUACAUUUAAGUCCCCUGAGUAUUUAUACGAGGUCUAAAUACGAGGCCUUAAAUAUGGUAUAAACACAAGACAAUCUAUGGGAUUAUGGUACCAAGUCCGGAAACUAAAGCCUUCAGCUUUUCUUUGUCAAGUUUUGGAUAGCAUUUGCAAAUAUAUAGGUAAAUAAAUACAUAACGGAUAUAAAUUGAUUGAUUUUAAGCUAUUUGAUCUCGGUCUUUAAAUCAAAUAGCACCACCCACUAUUUUUGGCAAAUUCCAUAUCCCUCAUCGGAAUUCAAGAGUUUUGGAGGAAACUCUUAGUAGGGUAUGGGGGACUCACUAUUACCAAGCCCACCUCACAAUGAUAUGAUGUUGGCUAGCAACAAUAAUAAUGAGAGAGUACACUUACUCAUUUACAUCUCAUGUAAGUACCCAUCUUAUUUGGCCUCUAGAGAAUGAUGCCUCACAAUGAUAUGAUGUAGGCUCCAUUUCACUUAGUUAAGUCAUUCCCACCAUGCAAGUUCGGGUAGGGAUUCAAGAACAACCUCACAAUGAUAUGAUGUUGAUCAUUCUCGUUGCCUACCUUCACAACAUCAUGUAUGUGUAUAGAACUCCUCUUGAGUGUAAGCACUCAUUUUGUACUCCCUCAUGAUAAGGUGAAGUCGGUGUACGAGUCACAAACGAUCGGAACCUACCACGGUGGAAGGCCAUGAAAAAGUGUUCAAAGGACUCUCACGCUUGUCAACUUAAUAAUUGUUUGGUUGAGGGUGUUUAUGUUGGAAGUAUGCCUACAAAAUCACUUAUUUGAUGUAAUAGCUUUUGGAAUACUUAUUGUGUUAAACUAUUAUAUGUUUAAUGAAGGGCAAAUCUUAUUGUUAAUCACUAUUUAUUGUAUUAUGUAUUUAAGCAAUAAGGGAAUCCAAGGAAUGUAUUUAAUCUAAGAGAGAAGUGAUCUAAGUAAGUUAGAAUCACGAGACAUUUCUCUUAUGUUCAUUCCUAAAAUGUUCCUAGCCAUAGGAUUGCCAAUUGGGCAUUGACAAUCCGCUAAGGUUAGUAUGUGUUAUGUUAACUCAAGCAUGAGUACAACCAGUCUCAAGUCAUUUAGUGUUGGACACUGAGACAAACAUAUAGGUGCUCAAAAGGUAAUUGAGUACACUGAACAAUGAUAAAAAAAGAGUUCGAACAUACAUGUCAUGUAAGAACUCAUAAGUUGCAACAUGCAAAGUAAUCCUUUGACUUAAGGCAUCAUAGAUGUCUAAUGGUUAGGUCCUUGAUCUUUGAUCAUGUCAAAGGCAUUCCUUCGAGAGUGUCCAUGGCAUUGUUGGGGUCAAGCUAUCUAGUCAUGUAGGCAUAUGAAGGCACAACAAGGGAUAUCUAACCUUCAAUGAUGGAGGGAGAAUACUUUGAGAUAUGAUUUGGGUUUCUUUGGCCAAAGCAUAAGAAUAUGACUUAGGAAGAUUGUUCCAAAUCAUAUUCAAUUGAAUCAUAUAGAGAAGUAUCACAUUGGAUAAUAGACAUGAAACAAACUAUCACUCAAAUAAUGUGAUUAAGAGUAUUGUAUUAGCGAAGGACCGUAUUGUAUUGUACUUGUAAUUCGAUAGGUUCUCCAACCACUUCUACUUAGCCUGGGUAGCCAUGACAUACUACUAGGUGUCACUCAUGGUUUGUGGAAGCCCUGAGGAUUAACAAACACUAAUCUUCAUCAAAGGGAGAAUUGAAAUGUAGUUUCAAUUCACAAUCGAUCGUUAAGAGUAACAAUCGCCUACUGCCUUGCUAAUUGGAACCUAAUGGAUCGUACACCGAGUAAGGAUGAAAGUGAAGAAAUAUAUAUGAGAUGGAUAAGCAAUUAAAUAGUUUAAUUGAGAAUGGUCAAGAUUAAUUGAUUAGUUAAUUAAUCUUACGAAAGGUUCGUAUUGGGCUUUUAAGUUGGUUUUGGGUUUCAGGGCCCAAAAGGGUUUUUGGUCCACAAGGCCCAUUGAGUUUAGGUUGUGUGACAACUAAAACUAAAUGGAAAUUAACCCAAAAACAAAGUCAAAACCGGCAUAUUAGCAUGCAUUUUAAUCACAUUAAAACAAUUUGGUCCUAUUACAACUAUUGGUCCAUAUGAUUGAUUUAGUAGUAUAUAAUACUCCCAGUAUGCUUGUAAAACGGUUUUUAAAGCAAGAGUACAUGGUACUACUAACAUAAGCUUUGCAUUCUUUGAUGGACUAUAUAGUUGCCUUAGGGCCUUAGGAUGAUUAUGAUCCUUUGAUUCGAUCCAACAUGAGCCUAAUGUUUGAUCUCGGUCUAGGAAUGGUGAUUGAUUUUAGUUACGCGUUUAAUCACAUUAAGGCGUGUUUUUUUAUUGGGCGUUGGACCCUACUACUCCAAUUUCAUGCAUAUCAAAUAAAAAAAGAAAAGGAGUACUUCAAAGUAAAGAAGAGCAUAUGCUCUUUUACAACAUUUCAUCAAAACAAAUUGCUUUAAAGUAAAGAAGAGCUUAUGCUCUUUUACAACAUUUGAUCAUAUCAAAUUACAACCAAAAUCUAACUACACAUUCCCAUGGUUCAAACAAAUUUGAGAGACGGUCUUUCACAUAGCUCAAUUAUCGUAGGCUUAGAUUCAUAAUCACCCUUUCUUUAAUUAAUUAAUGCUUUAACUAAUUAAACUUGAAUGCAACAUUGUCAUUUGGUUUUUGUAUCCAUAGAAUUGAUUUAGAUGGAGCAGAAUGAAAUGAAAAUCCAAUUCUCAUUUAAAGAUACAAAAUUAUUUUGUUCUCAACUAAUUUGGGCCAAAAAGCAAUAACCUCAACCAUUGGGCUAUAUUGGAAAACACAAACUUUUGAGGUCACUUUGUAAAAACACAAAAGUCCACUACUUCAUGUAAUUACAACUAGAACCCAAAAAUUUCAACAAAUGCAAAAACUUAAUUAAAGGAGCAAAACAAUUUGUCCUUCAGUGAUUUUGAGCCUUUACGUAAAAAUGUAAACUUUCGGGUUAAAGUGAAAAUACACAAAAGUAUUAAAACUUUAUGUAAUUGCAUAAAAGUCCCAUAAGUACCCUACUUUAAUAGGGUGGCCGGAUAUGGUAGUGUUAGUGGAGGGGUUGGUUUUUGUUGAAAAAGUAAAGUCAUAAAGUAUGGUUGAAAAAGUGAUUGGUAUGGUGUUGAAAAAAUAGGUAUGGGUGUCCAAUUGAAAAAGUCAUACCAUCCAUCACAAAACAAGACUUUAUGUAAACAACCAAAAAUUUUGAAUCAAAAUUCCCAACCUUUUUGUUCUUGUCAAGAACAUAACAAGAACAAUGAAGAACAUCCAUGAAAACCCAUAAUAGCUCCAUGAACAUUUUUCACCCAAAGACACCCCAAAAAUUCUCAAACUUAAGGGAAAUAACAUAUUACCAUACUGGGUUCCAAAAGUCACUUUAAAACACUUUUAACAAGACAAACAUGAACCCAAAAAUCCACCGUUUGGAUUUGGCCGAAUUUCCCCAAAAACAUGGCACCAAAUUUGAGCUCCUAAAUUCAUACUCGUAUGAACUACAUUUACAAUAUUUGAGAUGACAAAUUUUAUAGCAAAAUUUACAUUCAAAGAAGCAAGAAUAAAGUUUGUAACAAUUACAACAUUUAAACCAAAGACUACGAACUACAAAACCCAAAAGGAUUCACCAACUACUAGACCUAGGCUCUCAUACCACAUGAAGGAAAUAUUUGUGAAAACUAGUUCAUUUGAGCAACAUCUACAACAUGCAAUUAACAAUUAAAGGCGGAAUCAUGCUUUUAUGCACCCAAAAACAAAACUUUACCCAUGAAAUUCAAGGCCUAGUGAGUGUUGAGAAAUAUUAUACCAUUGUUGAUUCCUCUUUGCAUAGCAAAGGCUAAUCACCCAAGAGAUAGGGCCUUCAUUCCUUACUUCUUAGCUCCAUGGUUCUUGGAUGAGGAUGGUAGAAUGGAUUCUCCAAGUUCCCAAAAUAGAGAACCUCUAAGUCUCCACACCAAGGAGAGCAUUGAUGAAGAGAUGAGUGACCUAGAGGAAGUAAGAUUGCUAGCUAAUUUCCUCUAGGGUGGUCGGCCUCUUAGAGAGAAAAGGAGAGCUUCUAAUCUCUCCAAUUUCCUCAAAGAAAACCCUAAAUGAAUUUUGGCUAUAAAGUUCUUUAUAUGAUCCCUUCACUUAAGUGAGAAAAGAACCAAAACCCUUCAUUCUCUAAUGUGGCCGGCCUUAAGGGUUUAUUGGGCUUUCAAGCCCUUUGUGUAUUCAAGUUGUCAUACAACUUGAGUUAAUGGGCUUGACAUUCAAAUCCCAUUGGGCCUUGCGGCCCAAAACUAACCCGAUGUCUAUAACGAACUUAUUUGUUUGAUUAAUUAACAUAUUAAUUAAUCCUAUCCAUAAAUAAUUAAACCAUUUAAUUAUCCUUACUCAUCUCCGUUUUUCUUCAAUCUCUACCUUACUCGGUGUACGAUCCAUUAGGUUCCUUUUAACGAGGCAAUGGGUCAUUAGAACUCUUCAAAUGGAUUGUGAAUUGAAACUUACUUUCAAUUCUCCCUUUAGUGAUUACUCACGUUUAGGGCUUCCACAAACCAUGAGUAACUCCUAGCGGUAUGUCAUGGCUACCUAAGCUAAUCAGAAGAGGUGGAGAACCUAUUCAGUUUAGGAUUACAAUGCAAUACGGUCUUUCUCUAAUACAAUACUCUUGACCACAUUAUUUGGUUUGAUAGUUUAUUCUUGUCUACUAUCCAAUGUGAUUCUCUUUCUUAAAUGAUGCCUUGAAAGUAAUUUGGAACAACUUCCUAAAUCUCAUUCAUACUCUGGCCAGAGAUUCUUAAUCAUAUCAUGGAGUAUUCUCCCUCAAACGGUUUAAAGGUUAGAGAUCCCUUGUUGCGCAUUCACUUGCCUCCAUGGAUAAGUGGCUUAACCCCAACUAUGUUGUGGACACCCUUUGACUUAGUGACUUUGACAUAGUCAAAGAUUAAGGACCUAACCACAAGACAACUAUGAUGCCUCAGGUCAAAGGACUACUUUGCAUUAUCCUAACCAUGAGUUCUCCUUGUUGAUCGUGUUUAGUGGACUCAUUUUCUAUCUUGCACCUACAUGCUUGUCUUGGUGUCAGUCACACCAAUGACUCGAGACUAGUCACUCUCCCUAAGAGAAGAUAUAGCACGUACUGAUCUUAACGGACUGUCAAUGCCCAAUUGGCAAUCCUAUGAUCAAGAACAUUUAGGAUAUGUAUACGAAAUAGAAUGGUCUCAUGAAUCUAACUUCUUUAGAUCACAUUCUCCCAAUUACAUAUUCCUUGGACUUGUCAUUUAAGCAUAUAAUAUUUAUAUGAGAGGGCUUAAAACAAUAAUCUUUGCCCAUUAUAUUAAACUAGAUUAGUUUAACAUGUGAAAUGUUCGUAAAGUAUCAUCAUAUGUUUGGUUUUAGGGCACAUUUCCAACAACCUUGGGCCUAUAUAGCUAAGCCCAAACAGAACCAGGCCCAAACCCAAUCCUAAAACUGGCUUAUGCACCGAUUGGAAGUGAUCUAGUCGUCCCUAGUUCGAGUGCCUCUCCGAUAGAGGAAUAUUUAUGAGUGGACCCCUUCUUAACUUAUAUGUUUUUAUAAAUAUUAGCCUAGUGUGCAUUUCAUAUUUCAUGAUUUAAGUGUGUUAUAAUAUGCUUAUGGAUUUCUAUAAUUAUGGUUUACGAAAUACUCCUGAUUUAUCGAGAUUACGUUUUACGAAUGGAUAUGAAUUAUUGGAUUUGCGUAUAUGGAUUUCGAACAUGAUUUAUAUUGUGGAUUUACGAGUAUGAUUUAUCAUGGAUUUAUGAGAAGAGACUUUAAGCUUGUGAGCUCUGGAUUUGAUACGAGUUUUGAGAUAUGUUUUUGGUACUUAUCUAGUGGGUUAUCAUACGGCACAUACACACACCACGAGUAUAACGUCUAUGGCCAUAGGACACAGAGGAGGAGUAGUGAGAUAUAUAUAUACCCCCAGCUUCACUGUCGAAAGUAGUGUCGGACAACUUCACUAGCCAUGGCUAGUGUCAGUGUGUAUGUAUGCUUUUUUAUUCAGCUUCACCUUUGUGUGAUGGACAAGUACUGCCUUUGGGUGACUAUGAUACCCCUAGAGAGUGCAGAAUGGAUGAGAUUUACAGAUUUGCCUUCGGGCGACGACAUUUUUAUUACCGAGCACUGGAUUUACGUACUUCCCAUAUACAUGGUUUUUCAUGGCAUGCUAGGGUUUUCAGAAAACGUAUUAUGUAGUAUUUAUUGUAUGUGUUGUCAAAGCAGGGGUUAUUAUGUUCAGAAACAAAAUGUUUUCCUAUUAUAGUAUUAUUAUUAAAACUUUGGUCCACUCACUUUUU
rnacentral:lncRNA from 1 species